AACGAACGCUGGCGGCAGGCUUAACACAUGCAAGUCGAGCGCCCCGCAAGGGGAGCGGCAGACGGGUGAGUAACUCGUGGGAAUCUACCCAUCUCUACGGAAUAACGCAUGGAAACGUGUGCUAAUACCGUAUACGUCCUUCGGGAGAAAGAUUUAUCGGAGAUGGAUGAGCCCGCGUUGGAUUAGCUAGUUGGUGGGGUAAAGGCCUACCAAGGCGACGAUCCAUAGCUGGUCUGAGAGGAUGAUCAGCCACACUGGGACUGAGACACGGCCCAGACUCCUACGGGAGGCAGCAGUGGGGAAUGUUGGACAAUGGGCGCAAGGCUGAUCCAGCCAUGCCGCGUGAGUGAUGAAGGCCCUAGGGUUGUAAAGCUCUUUCACCGGUGAAGAUAAUGACGGUAACCGGAGAAGAAGCCCCGGCUAACUUCGUGCCAGCCGCCGCGGUAAUAC
rnacentral:rRNA from 1 species